CCGCCCGCACUUUCCCGGCGGAAAGUGGCUCGCCCGCGAGGGCGUGUGCGCAGGGGCGGGGCGGGGCGGGCCGGGAGCUGACCAGAGAGGGCGGCGUGGGGUCUCCUCCCCGCGGCGCGCCCGUCCUCCUCCUCCUCCUCCUCCUCCUCCUCGGGGCCUCGCUUCCUUCUCCUCCUCCGCACGCUCCGCCGCCCCUGUCCAGCCCCUCUGCCCCAAUGUGGGGGCAAGUGCUCACGGAGAGGCGCCGGGGCUCGGAACCCGGCCGGGCUCGGGCAAGCAGUUGCGAAACGCGCCGCGCCGGGGCAGGGGGCGGGCGGAGGGGCGCCGGGGGCGGAGGCCGCGCAGCCGGCGGCGGACGGCGCGAGCCCGGCGGCAGCUGUCAGCGGGCGCGGGGCGCGGGCGCGCCAGGGCUCGGCCGAGCGUGCGCGCCGGGGCCGGCUUCCCUCCCGCGGGCGCCGCGGCGGCCUCGCGCUCCCCACGAGCCCCGCGCCGCUGCGAGCCCGCGCGGCCAGGAAAAGCGCGCCCGGCUCGGGCGAAGCCUCGUCGGCGCCCCCGGCCUCCGCCUCCUCCGCGGCGCCGCCCCCGCGCCCGCGCCGAGCCCCCUCCUCGCUGGUCCCACACCUCCCUCUAGCGACUCCAGCCGCGUCCCUUCGCGGCUCUCCCGCCUCCCUCCCCCGCGCCCGGGUCUCACUGGCGCACACCCGUCUAGGGAGAGACCAGGUGGGUGGUAGAGGAUGUGCGGGGGAGCAGCCCGGAGAGGAUUUAGGUGAAUGAGGCGAGACGUCCAGAUCACCCAGUUCCACCCGCAAGGAGGCUCCUGCCCCAAUCGGGGGCUGACUUGGCGGGAAGAUGCGGGGAGCUCGUGCACUGCCCGGGGCUGCCGCCGGGGGUCGCGGAGGCCCCCGGCCCUGCUGCGGGCGCCGGGCACCAGGGACCACUCCACGCCGGCUCCCGCGCCGCCGUGGCCGGGUGGCAGGGCGAGGGGCGCAGCCCCUUCCCCUCGGGGCCGCUCGGCGUCGGCACAGCGGAGGCCGGAUGUGGGCACCUGCCUGCUUCCAGAGAGGGGUCCCAGCCGCGCCCGCCCCGCCCGGCGCGGGUCUCUCCCUCCCUCGCAGCCCCUUUAGGAGGGGCGACGCCCGCCGUGCGCCACGUUUCACUUCUGAUAUGACUGCCACCCGCUCUCCACCGCCCCCGCCGUGCACCGGGCUGGCUUGCCCAGACUCUGGCAAUCCCCAAAGGCCUCUGCCGCGGCCCAGAGAGCUAAGAGCAUCAAAGCAAAAACGCCGCCGCUCAGUCACACCUUCCCUUCCGAGCAACUCCCCUGCAACCUCGAUGAGAAAACAAGAAGAGACCUGUGCAUGCAAAGGGAGGGGCAAAGUAAGGAAUGAAACCCAGAGCAAUGGAUAAAGAAGCGUCUUCAGCCGAUGGGACUCGGUCCUUUGGAUGUCCACAUGAAACAAAGUGAAUCACACCAUACACAGCAUUUGAAAAGAGGAAUGAAGCUUCAAUAUGACUUUCCAUUUCGUUCACUUUAUAUAUGAAGAAAAACGAGGGCCCUCUCAACAUUUGUUCUUGUCAAGAAAAGGAAAAUUGAGGCAUCAUUCAAAAUACACAUGAUUCCAACACUUGAAGCACUUGCUGAAGAACAACAACCAUCUAAACAACCAACCAACUAGCUAAAAACUCUUUGUAAUGACAAGAGAUUUUCACAUAUGAGGUAUAUGGAGCAACUAUUCGAAUUCAAAACUGAUUCGGCUUGAAUUAUGGCCUAUCAAACAUACAUUGUACAUCUGCCUAAUCAUCAAAGUAAAGAAUGCACUCUCUUAAGUAUUAUUCUUCUUCUUUUACAGAGAAGGGAGCUGAUUCUGCCUCCCUCCCCUCUAACACCCUGCAGGGAAGUUAGGAUGGUAAUGGUUGCAGAGCGAAGAAGAGCGAAAAGAGAAUGCAGAAUAGAGGUCGGCUCUAAUUGUGUGCCCUGCUUAAGUCUGUGCUCUUUCCAUUUACAUCAUUCAAGUCCCACAAGCAGGAAACAGAAACAUGCAGCUGUGAUCCAUGGGCCAGAAAACCAUGACUCCUACUGCUCUAGGAUAGGAGGCCUGGCCCUGGGAGGCUUCGAUGCACAGCUGCACUGUCAAAGUCAGCUCAACUACUUCUCCAUAUUUGGGAUGCUAAAUUUUGCUGCAAAACCCUAAACACCUCCAUAACCAUGUUUUCUGGCAACAGCAAAUUGAGAAGCCUAGAAACGACUUCCUCCUCACUUCUGCCUUCCACGUUUUGCAUAAGUACAUCAUGUUGUCAGCACCUAAUUUGCACUCAGAACCCUAACUGCAAAGGACUCUGCGGAAUUGUAGCUUUCAGGUUGUCAGCCUGUGAAUGAUGCUGUAGCGAGAGGAGGGGAUACCUCCUGAGCAACCCAGUCCUUAGUGUUUGCCCUUUCCUUAAAUCAUGGCGCCUUUUGUACCUCAAGCUUGAAUCUUCACUUGGAAAUGCGAUCCUUCAUUUGGAAAUUACUUUCUUGCCUAAAGGGUUUUAAAUCUUUGUGAAGUUCCCAAGGCGUGGAAAAGAAUAUUGGUCCUGCAGAGAGAACGCAACAAUUAGAGCAGAAGACACGGAUCUUGGCCCAAAGAACAAGGCAUCACACCAUGGGGCCAGCAUGUUACAGCAUGUAUGAUGAGCACAAACCUUUCUGUAGAAAUCAACUGAUGCUGAGGAAAUCAACAGGCACAGGAGCUGACACAUCAGAGUAGCUAAAUACAUAUCUGUUAAGAGAGAGAGACUAACACUCGAAGACUGUAUUUUGAGCGAGUUCAUGAGCAUAAUUCAUACCUUUUUAAAAAAUCCUAAGGGAAAGAAACAGAUGCUCUUGACCCAAUUCUGUA
ensembl:lncRNA